rnacentral:rRNA from 1 species
GAUGAACGCUGGCGGCGUGCCUAAUACAUGCAAGUCGAGCGAACAGACGAGGAGCCUGCUCCUCUGACGUUAGCGGCGGACGGGUGAGUAACACGUGGAUAACCUACCUAUAAGACUGGGAUAACUUCGGGAAACCGGAGCUAAUACCGGAUAAUAUAUUGAACCGCAUGGUUCAAUAGUGAAAGACGGUUUUGCUGUCACUUAUAGAUGGAUCCGCGCCGCAUUAGCUAGUUGGUAAGGUAACGGCUUACCAAGGCAACGAUGCGUAGCCGACCUGAGAGGGUGAUCGGCCACACUGGAACUGAGACACGGUCCAGACUCCUACGGGAGGCAGCAGUAGGGAAUCUUCCGCAAUGGGCGAAAGCUUGACGGAGCAACGCCGCGUGAGUGAUGAAGGUCUUCGGAUCGUAAAACUCUGUUAUUAGGGAAGAACAAAUGUGUAAGUAACUAUGCACGUCUUGACGGUACCUAAUCAGAAAGCCGCGGCUAACUACGUG